AGUGAACGCUGGCGGUAGGCCUAACACAUGCAAGUCGAACGGCAGCACAGUAAGAGCUUGCUCUUACGGGUGGCGAGUGGCGGACGGGUGAGGAAUACAUCGGAAUCUACUUUUUCGUGGGGGAUAACGUAGGGAAACUUACGCUAAUACCGCAUACGACCUACGGGUGAAAGCAGGGGAUCUUCGGACCUUGCGCGAUUGAAUGAGCCGAUGUCGGAUUAGCUAGUUGGCGGGGUAAAGGACCACCAAGGCGACGAUCCGUAGCUGGUCUGAGAGGAUGAGCAGCCACACUGGAACUGAGACACGGUCCAGACUCCUACGGGAGGCAGCAGUGGGGAAUAUUGGACAAUGGGCGCAAGCCUGAUCCAGCCAUACCGCGUGGGUGAAGAAGGCCUUCGGGUUGUAAAGCCCUUUUGUUGGGAAAGAAAAGCAGCAGGUUAAUACCCCGCUGUUCUGACGGUACCCAAAGAAUAAGCACCGGCUAACUUCGUG
rnacentral:rRNA from 1 species